rnacentral:siRNA from 1 species
AGAGUGCUUCUUAGAAAGUUUCCC